UCUUGUUUACCUAUUGUUUGUUCGUGCCUUUUUCAACUCUUGCGUACGUGAGGGUUAAAGUGGAGGGAGAACAUGCAAGGUGAACAGAAAGAAGGGAAAGAGGAGAAAGGCUAUUUUAUUAUUUUAUGUUCGGUCGUUUAUA
rnacentral:ribozyme from 1 species